rnacentral:rRNA from 1 species
GACGAACGCUGGCGGCGUGCUUAACACAUGCAAGUUGAACGGAAAGGCCCUGCUUUUGUGGGGUGCUCGAGUGGCGAACGGGUGAGUAACACGUGAGUAACCUGCCCUUGACUUUGGGAUAACUUCAGGAAACUGGGGCUAAUACCGGAUAGGAGCUCCUGCUGCAUGAUGGGGGUUGGAAAGUUUCGGCGGUUGGGGAUGGACUCGCGGCUUAUCAGCUUGUUGGUGGGGUAGUGGCUUACCAAGGCUUUGACGGGUAGCCGGCCUGAGAGGGUGACCGGCCACAUUGGGACUGAGAUACGGCCCAGACUCCUACGGGAGGCAGCAGUGGGGAAUAUUGCACAAUGGGCGGAAGCCUGAUGCAGCAACGCCGCGUGCGGGAUGACGGCCUUCGGGUUGUAAACCGCUUUCGCCUAUGACGAAGCGUGAGUGACGGUAAUGGGUAAAGAAGCACCGGCUAACUACGUG